CCCAUUUGAGGGCUGAUAGGGAGUGGGGAAGAUUCUUUGAUUGGAGGUCCUUCCCUUGUGGAGUUUUCCUCUUCUUUCCUCUUUCUGGAUCACCUUUUCAUUGCAGUAGUUACUUUGUCAAUGCGUCUUCUGUACUGCCAUUCUACUGUGUCAAUCUUUCUGAUUGUUACAGAUUUCAAUUUAUGAGUUCAAUAAAAACAUCAAGUCCAUUUGCAGAGGAACGAAGAGAUUUGACCUAAUCUUUGGUUCCACUGAGGUAUUAAAUCUCUCAGAUUGUAUCAGUCAUGAACUACUGCUGACACCAAGCCCUUCACAUAUGCUGAAAACUGACUGAAGAGCUCUGAGGAGAAGCAGCGUUGAAGGGAGCUGCUGACCUGGAGGUGUUUGGAGUAUCUUCAGCAUCUCAUUGUUUUCGUAUCAAUCUCAUACGAUCUCAUUUACAAAUGUUUGAUGACCUCAUUUAAGUUUGGCUUUGGGACUGCUACCCAGAAUGUAGUCCUCAAAAACCAGCUUUGUGGAACAGGUUCCAUUUUCCAAGGCAGAUGCAGGACUUCACUGAAGAGACUCUGCUAAGAGCUGUGGAAAGUAGCUUUGCUGAAGAACCUGAAAGGCAACUACUUCGUUCCUGUAAGCAGUGGAGAUUCAAGUCCUCAUCUUCUCUUAAAGGCAUACUAAAGAAAAGGAAUAGAAGGCCAUCUUUCUUACAGUCGGUAGUGGUGGUGGCAUAAGGCAGCAUAUAGCCACGUGUUAAAUCCUACCUUGAAGGUUUUGGGUUGUAUUGGUGGAAGAUGAAAGCAGGAAACUGCAGCCUUGUGUGUUGGAUUGCAAUCUGAAAGUCUUCCAGAAACUUCAGAUGAAUCAGCCUAUAAACCAGCCUCUAAAACAGCAAAAUAGGAUAUUCUGUCCUGGUGCCACUUUUUUAAUACUGUCUUCAGCUUGACCCUUGGUGAAGACCAUACUAAAUAUUACACAUAAUUCCUGUAGUAGUGAUUAAUGAGGUCAGUUUUUACAUUUGCUGUAAAUGACAUGCUGGUAGCUCUAUGAUACCUUGCUAUUAAAUCACCUCUGACCUCUUUUACUUUAGUCUAGUUCUGCCUUAAUGGUAUGUAUUGCUAAAUGUUGGCUUUUCAGUACACUGAGCGGUUAGCAUAGGCAUCCGUGCUGGAAGAAUGCAUGCAGAUUAAAAUUUCUUCAGCCAAAGGAGCAAGUUGUUUGUGUAGUACAUGGUAGCUGAAUUUGAAGUCUAACUUACUGCCUUUGGCAUCUGUAGAUAGGCUAAGAUAACGGUAAUCCAAAAGAGUCCUUGAUUCUUAAACACAUGAACUCUGUGUCUAUGGAUCUUAACAGAGUUUAGUUAUCAUGCCGCUUAGUCCUGACAGCAUUUCUGGACAUCUCUGCAUGAAUGGGAGCUUCUAGAGAUAUGGUGGUAUGAGACCUAGAGGGAGUACGGGUUCUUUCAGGGUUAGAUAUGAUCUGAUUUUGGGAAGGUUGCCUUCAUUUCAGACAAUACAUAUUUAGAUCUUGCCAUGACUGCACUUAACGUUUUAUGAAUGGGCUGUUUGUACCAUCCUUAUUGCUGUUGCAGGACUUACUGAUCUGUCGUUCUGUCUUUCUGCUGUAACAGUUUUAAUGAGUCAGAGCAGGAUUUUUUCUUCAUCCACUCUGAUUACCACAAAUAAUGAGUCAAUAAAGACCAUGUAGUACAGCAGCAAUUCCAAAUAGUUUUCAUUUUAUCAACUCUUAUGUGCUAUGAAUGAUUCUGCAGUGACAAGCCAUUGAAUGUUUUCUUGCAAAUGUAGCACUGAGCUUUUCUGUAAUGAUAACAGAAGCAUUGUUCAGGCUUGAAAACGUAGCAUCACAUGUCCAUUGCAGUUAAAAGGAGUAUGAAUUCUUUUAUUUUUUUGUCUACUCUAGUGUGAAACUGUUGGAUUUGUAGAAGGGAAAGAAAAAAGCAUAAUGGAAUAGUGGAAACUGAAAUGCAUUUAUAUAAUAUUUGUUGGUUUGUCAUGGUUGUUAGCUGAAAUAACUGCUUUGACAGGAGGUAACGGGACAGUAAGUUUGAAAAUACUUUUAAAUAAACUUGUUCUAGCAAAGU
ensembl:lncRNA